rnacentral:rRNA from 1 species
GAUGAACGCUGGCGGCGUGCCUAAUACAUGCAAGUCGAGCGAACAGACGAGGAUCUUGCUCCUCUGACGUUAUCGGCGGACGGGUGAGUAACACGUGGAUAACCUACCUAUAAGACUGGGCUAACUUCUGGAAACCGGAGCUAAUACCGGAUAAUAUAUUGAACCGCAUGGUUCAAUAGUGAAAGACGGUUUUGCUGUCACUUAUAGAUGGAUCCGCGCCGCAUUAGCUAGUUGGUAAGGUAACGGCUUACCAAGGCAACGAUGCGUAGCCGACCUGAGAGGGUGGAAGACCACAAUGGAACUGAGAGACGGCCCGGACACCGACAGGAGGCAGCAGUAGGGAAUCAUGCGCAAUGGGCGAAAGACUAACGGAGCAAAGACGCGUGAGUGAUGAAGGUCUACGAAUCGUAAAAAACUGUUAGUAGGGAAGAACAAAUGUGUAAGUAACGAUGAACGUAUUGACGGUACCUGAUCAGAAAGCCACGGCUAACUACGUG